GUUUCUAUCUAUGAAGUAUUUUCUUCCAGUACGAAAGGAUCGAAGAAAAAAGGCCCAUGCUUAAAGCAAGCCUUACCACAAUCUGAUGAAGACAACUCAAUUAGAUAAGAGCACCCCCCCCCCCCCCAAAGAUAAUGGCU
rnacentral:rRNA from 1 species